GACAGAGGUGCCAAGCGUUAGGCGGAAUCACUGGGCUUAAAGCGUGUGUAGGCGGCUCGUUUAGUACCUUGUGAAAUCCCACGGCUCAACCGUGGAACUGCUCGGUAUACUGGCGGGCUUGAGCCAUCUAGGGGCUACCGGAACAAAGUGGUGGAGCGGUGAAAUGCGUAGAUAUCAUUUGGAACGCCAAUGGUGAAAACAGGUAGCUGGGGAUGUGCUGACGCUGAGACACGAAAGCCAGGGGAGCGAACGGG
rnacentral:rRNA from 1 species